rnacentral:rRNA from 1 species
UACGGAGGGGGGCUAGCGUUGUUCGGAAUUACUGGGCGUAAAGCGCACGUAGGCGGCUUUGCAAGUUAGAGGUGAAAGCCCAGGGCUUAACCCUGGAAUUGCCUUUAAAACUGCAUCGCUAGAAUUGUGGAGAGGUGAGUGGAAUUCCGAGUGUAGAGGUGAAAUUCGUAGAUAUUCGGAAGAACACCAGUGGCGAAGGCGGCUCACUGGACUGGUAUUGACGCUGAGGUGCGAAAGCGUGGGGAGCAAACAGG